rnacentral:lncRNA from 1 species
UUCGUACUCUACCAUAUCCCAGAAUAACUUGCGUGCAGAUGACGACAGUGUUUAUAUUUAAAGAACAGCGGGUGAGAGUUCUGUGGGGGAAUUCACAUUGAAAUUACUAUUCUGGAGAAAAUGAGUCUGCUGGGGAAAGACUUAAUACAAAGAUUGCAAGUGUCCUGGGACAGGUGAGGGAGUGAGUGGUGAGCUGGUGGAGCUACUCAGAGAGGACAUCAAACUCCAGAGAGAGACAGAGGAGAGAAGAGCACAGGAGAGAGAGAGAGAGAGACAGAGGAGAGAA